rnacentral:misc_RNA from 1 species
GAUGAAGAACGCAGCGAAAUGCGAUAAGUAAUGUGAAUUGCAGAAUUCAGUGAAUCAUCGAAUCUUUGAACGCACAUUGCGCCCCUUGGUAUUCCGAGGGGCAUGCCUGUUCGAGCGUCAUUAUAACCCCUCAAGCUCAGCUUGGUGUUGGGGCCUGCCGCACGGGCAGCCCUUAAAAUCAGUGGCGGUGCUAUCUGGCUCUAAGCGUAGUAAUUCUUCUCGCUAUAGAGUCCCGGUGGAUGCUUGCCAUUAACCCCCAAUUUUCUAUGGUUGACCUCGGAUCAGGUAGGGAUACCCGCUGAACUUAAGCAUAUCAAUAAUCGGAGGA